UACGUAGGGGGCGAGCGUUGUCCGGAAUCAUUGGGCGUAAAGAGCGUGUAGGCGGUCCGGUAAGUCCGCUGUGAAAGUCGGGGGCUCAACCCUCGAAUGCCGGUGGAUACUGUCGGGCUAGAGUCCGGAAGAGGAGAGUGGAAUUCCUGGUGUAGCGGUGAAAUGCGCAGAUAUCAGGAAGAACACCAAUGGCGAAGGCAGCUCUCUGGGGACGGUACUGACGCUGAGACGCGAAAGCGUGGGGAGCGAACAGG
rnacentral:rRNA from 1 species